GAUGGGGGGGCAAGUGUUCUUCGGAAUGACUGGGUGUAAAGGGCACGUAGGCGGUGAAUCGGGUUGAAAGUGAAAGUCGCCAAAAAGUGGCGGAAUGCUCUAGAAAUCAAUUCACUUGAGUGAGACAGAGGAGAGUGGAAUUUCGUGUGUAGGGGGUGAAAUCCGUAGAUCUACGAAGGAACGCCAAAAGCGAAGGCAGCUCUCUGGGUCCCUACCGAUGCUGGGGUGCGAAAGGAUGGGGGAGCGAACAUG
rnacentral:rRNA from 1 species